AUACCUUUCUCGGCCUUUUGGCUAAGAUCAAGUGUAGUAUCUGUUUUUAUCAGUUUAAUAUCUGAUAUGUGGGCCAUCGGCCCACUCGAUAUUAAUCUUAUUUUUCAUGAGGAAAGGUCCAUCACAAUAGCUUGCUAUUGGGGUUUUUCAUGCGCACCCCUC
rnacentral:snRNA from 1 species